rnacentral:rRNA from 1 species
GCUUACGGGCCACACCGCCUGGUAUACGCUUGAUCUCGGAAGAUAAGGUAGGUUGGGCCUGGUUAGUACUUGGAUGGGAGACCGCCUGGGAAUACCAGGUGCUGUAAGCU